UACGUAGGGUGCGAGCGUUGUCCGGAAUUAUUGGGCGUAAAGAGCUUGUAGGCGGUUUGUCGCGUCUGCUGUGAAAAUCCGGGGCUCAACCCCGGACUUGCAGUGGGUACGGGCAGACUAGAGUGUGGUAGGGGAGACUGGAAUUCCUGGUGUAGCGGUGAAAUGCGCAGAUAUCAGGAGGAACACCGAUGGCGAAGGCAGGUCUCUGGGCCAUUACUGACGCUGAGGAGCGAAAGCGUGGGGAGCAAACAGG
rnacentral:rRNA from 1 species